AUACGGAGGAUGCAAGCGUUAUCCGGAUUUAUUGGGUUUAAAGGGUGCGUAGGCGGAUGAUUAAGCGUGAGGUGAAAUGCCGGCGCUCAACGUCGGAAGUGCCUCCCGAACUGGUGGACUUGAAUGACUCUGCCGUGGGAGGAAUGUGUAGUGUAGCGGUGAAAUGCUUAGAGAUUACACAGAACACCGAUUGCGAAGGCGUCUCUCGAAGGGUUGAUUGACGCUGAGGCACGAAAGCGUGGGGAUCAAACAGGAUUAGAUACCCUGGUAGUCCACGCAGUAAACGAUGAUGGCUAACCGCUGGGCUUAUCAGUUCAGUGGCCAAGCGAAAGCGAUAAGCCAUCCACCUGGGGAGUACGACCGCAAGGUUGAAACUCAAAGGAAUUGGCGGGG
rnacentral:rRNA from 1 species